GCUGAGGUCGCAUAGCCUGGUAUUGCGCGGGACUGCUAAUCCCGUUCCUUCGGGAGUCGUGAGUUCGAAUCUCACCCUCAGCG
rnacentral:tRNA from 1 species